rnacentral:rRNA from 1 species
GAUGAACGCUGGCGGCGUGCCUAAUACAUGCAAGUCGAGCGAACAGACGAGGAGCUUUCUCCUCUGACGUUAGCGGCGGACGGGUGAGUAACACGUGGAUACCCUACCUAUAAGACUGGGAUAACUUCGGGAAACCGGAGCUAAUACCGGAUAAUAUAUUGAACCGCAUGGUUCAAUAGUGAAAGACGGUUUUGCUGUCACUUAUAGAUGUAUCCGCGCCGCAUUAGCUAGUUGGUAAGGUAACGGCUUACCAAGGCGACGAUGCGUAGCCGACCUGAGAGGGUGAUCGGCCACACUGGAACUGAGACACGGUCCAGACUCCUACGGGAGGCAGCAGUAGGGAAUCUUCCGCAAUGGGCGAAAGCCUGACGGAGCAACGCCGCGUGAGUGAUGAAGGUCUUCGGAUCGUAAAACUCUGUUAUUAGGGAAGAACAAAUGUGUAAGUAACUAUGCACGUCUUGACGGUACCUAAUCAGAAAGCCACGGCUAACUACGUG